rnacentral:lncRNA from 1 species
CGCGAUCGGACGGCCCAGAUGCAAUCGCACGGACGGCCCAGAUUCAAUCAAAAACGAACAGCUCAGAUUAAAACAAAAUGGACGGCUGAGAUCAAAAGGCAAGGGGUUAUAAAUAGAACCUCCACACCAGACCACAAACCCUAGCCGCCUGCCGCUCGCCGGAGAAGACAAACCAGAAGCCGGCCGCCGCCACCCGUCGCCGCGCCGGGGAAAUUUUCGACCGCCGAUCGAGGUAAAUUUCGUACCCCCGACUCGUUUUUCCACGCUGAUUCCUCCUGUGGCCAAAUCGGAGCCAAAAUUCCGGCCAAACGGCCGGAAUACACGGCCGAAGCCCAGCGGCGCCGUCGCGCCCCUUCUCGGUUUUUGCCUCCGAUGAGGCCCUUCCCGGCCUCCGUUUGAUGCAAUUUUUAUAUCACCGUGAUCAUCAUUCUUUUCUCUACAGGUUGACCGGAGCCGAAUCACCAAAACACGAACUUCGCCGGAGAGCCGGCGCACCCGAGAGCGCCGCUGCCGGUAAGCUCCGUUUUUCCGUAAUUUUUUGGCCCCCCGAGGG